GCUGGGCAUGGUGGUGCAUGCCUGUAAUCCCAGUGGUUUGGGAGGCUGAGGCAGGAGGAUCACAAGUUCAAAGCCAGCCUCAGCAAAAGCGAGGUGUUAAGCAAUUCAGUGAGACCCUGUCUCUA
rnacentral:sRNA from 1 species